rnacentral:tRNA from 1 species
GCUGAUGUAGCACAGUGGCAGUGCCUUCCUAGCAUGUGCAAAGCUUUGGGUUCAAUUCCCAGCACUGGAA